UGGGGAAUAUUGGGCAAUGGGCGCAAGCCUGACCCAGCGACGCCGCGUGGGUGAUGAAGGCCUUCGGGUUGUAAAGCCCUGUCAUGUGGAAAGAGCAGUCUCGUGGUGAAUAUCCACGGGGUUUGACGGUACCACAGGAGGAAGCACCGGCUAACUCCGUGCCAGCAGCCGCGGUAAUACGGAGGGUGCAAGCGUUGUUCGGAAUUAUUGGGCGUAAAGGGCGCGUAGGCGGUUGUGAAAGUCAGAUGUGAAAUACUUCGGCUCAACUGAAGAACUGCAUCUGAAACUUCAUAACUCGAGUACAGGAGAGGGAAACGGAAUUCCCGGUGUAGAGGUGAAAUUCGUAGAUAUCGGGAGGAACACCAGUGGCGAAGGCGGUUUCCUGGCCUGAUACUGACGCUGAGGCGCGAAAGCGUGGGGAGCAAACAG
rnacentral:rRNA from 1 species